GGCAGGGAUUGCGAUUGGCCACGCUGCCUGGUCCCGAAAACCAGGGGUCCCAGAAAUGGGGCUUGAGGGUUCGAGUCCCUCCCCUGUCGCCA
rnacentral:tRNA from 1 species